rnacentral:misc_RNA from 1 species
GGUAUGAGUCACCUUUUAGGCACCAACUUGAUGUAGGUUUCAAUGAGCUCUCGAUCAAACUUUUAGCGUCUCUAAUAGAUUGGUGACUGAAGACACUUGUCAACAACUUGAAUGAUGACUUAUUUUGGCCGUAUCAUUUAGUCGAAAUAGGAGACACCAUUAAGGCUUCUUUAAAUCAAUCCAUAAAGCCCAAAAUUAUAUGUCCUAUUGCAUUUUGCAACUGAUAUUGUUAAAUUUCAGCUAAAAUCUCAUUACAUUUAAAAUAUUAUUAUAUUUUUAAAUUUAAUUGAUAAAAAGUUAAUAGUCUAUUAGAAAAGUAAUAGGUUUU